GACGAACGCUGGCGGCGUGCUUAACACAUGCAAGUCGAACGGAAAGGCCCUGCUUUUGUGGGGUGCUCGAGUAGCGAACGGGUGAGUAACACGUGAGUAACCUGCCCUUGACUUUGGGAUAACUUCAGGAAACUGGGGCUAAUACCGGAUAGGAGCUCCUGCUGCAUGGUGGGGAUUGGAAAGUUUCGGCGGUUGGGGAUGUACUCUCGGCUUAUCAGCUUGUUGGUGGGGUAGUGGCUUACCAAGGCUUUGACGGGUAGCCGGCCUGAGAGGGUGACCGGCCACAUUGGGACUGAGAUACGGCCCAGACUCCUACGGGAGGCAGCAGUGGGGAAUAUUGCACAAUGGGCGGAAGCCUGAUGCAGCAACGCCGCGUGCGGGAUGACGGCCUUCGGGUUGUAAACCGCUUUCGCCUGUGACGAAGCGUGAGUGACGGUAAUGGGUAAAGAAGCACCGGCUAACUACGUG
rnacentral:rRNA from 1 species